GUGGAGGGGAAAAGGUGGGUCCUGGCCCACAGCAGAUGCCGUCUGGACGCUGAGGACGAGUAGUGCUCUUCGUCGAACGCACACCGUACGGUCAUACCUGGCGGCCGCGCCGUUGCCACUGCCCUACCAGGACUCAGCAGUCACAUCCUGCGGUCUACUGCAUUGGACCAUGUUCUUGUAUAUGGAGAGUCAGACAAGAGAUCAAGUGGAUUCGUCCUCAAGUGGUUUUGAAAAGGGUGAAAAGAAAAGUAAAUUGGGGAUAGCGCAUUAGGGCAGGUAGAGUUUACAGUUUCUAAGAGGGUAGUCAGGAAGGUUUGGAAGGUAGAAUUUGCAGAGGACUCAAAGAAAUUGAGAACAAAUAAUAAUAUUCUUCAUUGUCUAGCAUUGUCCAUUAGAGCAUGAAGAAAUGACAGGUGUGGGGAGAUGGCUGGGAGAUGGCUCAGUGGAUGAGAGUGCUUAUUGUGAAAGCAUGAGGACCUGAGUUCAGAUCCUAAUACCCGUAUAAAAAGUCAGGUAUGGUCAUGUGUUCCUGAAACUUCAGUGCUGUAUGGGACAGAGACAGCCUAGCUUCGGGUUCAGAGACCCUGUCUCAAAGGAGUAAGAUGGCCACUGGUAGAGCAGGACACCGAACACCCUGUUCUGGCCUCCAGCUUUUUUUACAUGGGUUCUAGGGACCAAAACUCAGGUCCUGUUGAUGGAAAGUUUUAUCUUGGAGGAAAUUACUUCACAAUACCAGGAUAGCCAGGACUAAAUA